CUCAGCCCUCUGGCCUGUCUCGGAUUCCCUCGAGGCAAGGCCUUGGCUGCCUUGAGACCCCUCUGGUUCACAGUCCUACUCGAGCCCACGGAGCAGAGUUUUGGCUACUCUGUCUGGCAGCAUUGCUUCUUCAAGAGUCAAUUAAGGAAUCUCAACCAACAGCGUUGGCAUAUAUUACUGGAUGCGCUUCUUGUGCCUUUCCAUUGGCUAUAUCGGAAAGGAUGAGAGUGCACUGGCAUAUGGUACAUGUAUGCACUUCCACAUUUCAGAUGGGAGUAGGAAUUUAGGAGUUCUCAUAGCUCAACCUGUCAUUAACUUAAAAGGACCAGCUUAGUUUGAUGUUUACACUCCUCCUGGGAAACAGCUGUUGUUAGUAUGUUAUUCACACAAGAAGUAACCCACGGCUCAUUCCAAUCAGGGAGUUGAUCCCACAUCCUUGUGGCAUGUGCAUGUGCUCUAGCUGGAGCACCAUGGUAACCCAUGGGGACAUGUUGAAAUGUGAACGGUUUGUUCUGGAACGUAAAAGCAAACCAAGACGGACUCUCAGGGGUUAAUGGAAUAGCAAGGACACAGCUAGCAAUAUCCAAUACAGAGAACCAUUUAGCAGGUGAAGCUAUUCCAGCCAAUACAGCUGGAAAAUUAGCUACUAUUGGUGCCAUCGGGACUGUAGCCGCAUUGAUUUUCCUACAAUUAAUCGUGAGGCGCCACCUUCCGUCCGCUUUCUGCACAGGCUGGAUCGGAGAAUUGUUUGGACUUUGGCACUUCACCACCACUUUUUGUUUUUUUUAAAUCCUGCAGCAAUUGUUUUCUAUGCAGAACAGCUUCUGCAGGGUAGGAAUAUUGAGGAACUGGUUUUACAAAUGUUCCUACUAUUUUCACUGCUGCUUGUAUGCCCCCACAUUCGGAUUUUUUUUUUUUUUUUUUUGGCCCACACCAUAGGGAACUCCCGGGUCCAUUUAUUAUCUGGUAACACCACAGCUGCUAUGGCUUUACAAGCUUCUUUCCUUAAUGCUCCUGGCAUUACCUGCUCACUUACAAUCCCUGUCCCCCUUUUCCACAGCCGACUUUCUGCCAGAUCAGUUAUCCAUUUUUUCUGCUGUACCACAUCUGCACCUAAGACAGCAUUUUCAGUCAUGCUGUUCCAGACCACUGUGUCUGUCCAAAACUUACUGCGUCCUGUCACCCGUGACAGAUUUUUUUAAAUAAAAUUCCUUUUACUCCUUUGUCUUGAAAGCCAAAUA